rnacentral:rRNA from 1 species
UGGCCGAUCAAGUCUGUCGGGAAAUCCAGUGGCUCAACCACUGGGCUGCCGGCGGAAACUGUUCGGCUUGGGACCGGAAGACUCGAGGGGUACGUCCGGGGUAGGAGUGAAAUCCCGUAAUCCUGGACGGACCACCAAUGGCGAAAGCACCUCGAGAGCACGGAUCCGACAGUGAGGGACGAAAGCUAGGGUCUCGAACCGGAUUAGAUACCCGGGUAGUCCUAGCUGUAAACGAUGCUCGCUCGGUCUGGCGCAGGCUACGAGCCUGUGCUGUGCCACAGUGAAGACGGAAGCGAGCCGCCUGGGAA